UGCGGUAAUUUGACCGUGCAAAGGUAGCAUAGUCAGUAGUCUCCUAAUUGUAGGCUGGAAUGAAUGGCUGGAUGAAAGAACGACUGUCUCUUAAUUAAAGUGAAAUUUGACUUUUGAGUGAAAAGGCUUAAAUAUUUUGAGGGGACGAUAAGACCCUAUAAAACUUGAUAUAGAGCUGACUUUAGUUUUAAAUUUUAAAAUAAAAUUGUAAAGUAAACUUUAUAUUUUGUUGGGGAGACAUUGAUAUAAGUAGUAACUGUCUGUUAAAAAUUAUAAUUAUAUUUAGUUUUUGAUCCUUCUUUGUGGAUUAGAAGAAUAAGUUACUUUAGGGAUAACAGCGUGAUUUUUUCUAAGAGUUCUUAUCGAAGAAAGUAGUUGCGACCUCGAUGUUGAAUUAA
rnacentral:rRNA from 1 species